UACGUAGGGUGCAAGCGUUGUCCGGAAUUAUUGGGCGUAAAGAGCUCGGUAGGCGGUUUGUCGCGUCUGCUGUGAAAACCCGAGGCUCAACCUCGGGCCUGCAGUGGGUACGGGCAGACUAGAGUGGCGGUAGGGGAGAUUGGAAUUCCUGGUGUAGCGGUGGAAUGCGCAGAUAUCAGGAGGAACACCAAUGGCGAAGGCAGAUCUCUGGGCCGUAACUGACGCUGAGGAGCGAAAGCGUGGGGAGCGAACAGG
rnacentral:rRNA from 1 species